rnacentral:rRNA from 1 species
UACGAAGGGGGCUAGCGUUGCUCGGAAUUACUGGGCGUAAAGGGCGCGUAGGCGGAUAUUUAAGUCGGGGGUGAAAGCCCAGGGCUCAACCCUGGAAUUGCCUUCGAUACUGGAUAUCUUGAGUUCGGGAGAGGUGAGUGGAAUGCCGAGUGUAGAGGUGAAAUUCGUGAGAUAUUCGGCGGAACACCAGUGGCGAAGGCGACUCACUGGCCCGAUACUGACGCUGAGGCGCGAAAGCGUGGGGAGCAAACAGGG